GAUGAAGAACGUAGUGAAAUGCGAUACGUAAUGUGAAUUGCAGAUUUCAGUGAAUCAUCGAAUCUUUGAACGCACAUUGCGCCCGCUAGUAUUCUGGCGGGCAUGCCUGUUCGAGCGUCAUUUCAACCAUCAAGCCCCCGGCUUGCGUUGGAGCCCUGCGGCUGCCGCAGGCUCCCAAAUCUAGUGGCGGGCUCGUCGUCGUACCGAGUGCAGUAAACAUCCUCGCUCAGGGAACGCGUCGGGUUCUUGCCGUGAAACCCCCCCAUAUCAAGGUUGACCUCGGAUCAGGUAGGAAUACCCGCUGAACUUAAGCAUAUCAUAAGCGGAGGA
rnacentral:misc_RNA from 1 species